rnacentral:rRNA from 1 species
GACGAACGCUGGCGGCGUGCUUAACACAUGCAAGUCGAACGGAAAGGCCCUGCUUUUGUGGGGUGCUCGAGUGGCGAACGGGUGAGUAACACGUGAGUAACCUGCCCUUGACCUUGGGAUAACUUCAGGAAACUGGGGCUAAUACCGGAUAGGAGCUUCUGCUGCACGGCGGGGGCUGGAAAGUUUCGGCGGUUGGGGCUGGACUCGCGGCUUAUCAGCUUGUUGGUGGGGUAGUGGCUUACCAAGGCUUGGACGGGUAGCCGGCCUGAGAGGGUGACCGGCCACAUUGGGACUGAGAGACGGCCCAGACUCCAACGGGAGGCAGCAGUGGGGAAUAUUGCACAAUGGGCAGGAGCCUGAUGCGGCAGCGCCGCGUGCGGGAUGACGGCCUUCUGGUUGUCAACCGCUUUCGCCUGUGACGAAGCGUGAGUGACGGUAGUGGGUAAAGAAGCACCGGCUAACUACGUG